rnacentral:rRNA from 1 species
UGACCGCUGGCGGCAUGCUUUCCACAUGCACGUCGCACGGCAGCGCGGGCUUCGGCCUGGCGGCGAGUGGCGAACGGGUGAGUAAUACAUCGGAACGUGCCCAGUAGUGGGGGAUAGCUCGGCGAAAGCCGGAUUAAUACCGCAUACGACCUGAGGGUGAAAGCGGGGGAUCUUCGGACCUCGCGCUAUUGGAGCGGCCGAUGGCAGAUUAGCUAGUUGGUGGGGUAAAGGCCUACCAAGGCGACGAUCUGUAGCUGGUCUGAGAGGACGACCAGCCACACUGGGACUGAGACACGGCCCAGACUCCUACGGGAGGCAGCAGUGGGGAAUUUUGGACAAUGGGCGAAAGCCUGAUCCAGCAAUGCCGCGUGUGUGAUGAAGGCCUUCGGGUUGUAAAGCACUUUUGGCGGGAACGAAAAGGACUGUGCCAAUACCACGGUUCGAUGACGGUACCCGCAGAAUAAGCACCGGCUAACUACGUG